ensembl:lncRNA
GCAAAGAUGAGCGCUGUAUUUUUAAGGAUGAUGGUUCCAAUUAUGAGAAUUAUCUGUAGAUUUCAGUCACAGAAUGGCCAUGUUAUGAAGUGGGAAUCCAAGCCAAUACCUAUCUGUACUUCUUUCCAUUUCCCUCUCUUACUUGCUCUUGCUGUUGCUCUCACUCAUUUCAAUGAUUUAUAACUCCCAUGUGUCUUUUUACCAGGUUUUGGAGAAUGAAAUGGAAGCCUUGCAGAACAAUGUUGCAGAUUUAUUGAUGGCCUCUAAGCCUCUCAUUGCACAGAUGGAGUCCCAUGCAGCCCCUCUGAUCCAGACAGAGACCAGGCUGCUGUCACGUGAUCUUGUGCGUCUGGGCCAGGCAUUGGUUAGAAGACAGGUAGAGCUCCAGGAGGAACUGGAAGAGCAUGUCAGCUUUAAUACUGAUUUGGAAUCUUUAGAGCAGCAUCUGAAGAGCUAUGAAAACUUAAUAGCCUCCACCACUGCAAGCACAGAGUGCCUAAAGGUAAACCAGUUAAUACCUUUCUCUUCUACCCCAAAACAGGUAUAGUUGCCUUAUAGUUAUUAUUAUUUUCUGUUGUAAGUAACUGUAGUCUCUCAUAAACAGAUUUUUCACUUGUUCACAUUCUUCUUCUCUCUCUUUUUGUGCUUUGUAAGCUGGGUCUUAUGGAGCAGAGUGGUCUGACACCUGACCUUGGAGAUUUGAAUAAACGCAGCCUAACACUGACCCUUAGUGCAUCUCACCUGCAACUCCUCAACACACAGUGGAUGCAGGUCUUCUCUCAAGCCACAGCCAAACACAGGGGAUUAUACAGUCAGGAGUUAUGUGCUCAGAGUUUUCAGAAGAAGUGCCAGGCAUGGAUGGAUUUAUUGGAGAAAGUGGAGUCUGGCCUAUCUAAUGACAUUUCUGGGAAUUAUUCUUCAAUAAGAGAACAACUUUCUCUUCACCAGGUUAGGCAUCUUUUUCACUUUCCUUUCUGCAAGACACUUUACGCUCUCCUUAAUGCAUACAAUAUUUGUACAAUAUUUGAGGAAAGACAGUUUGCAGCUUUCGAGGGCAGUAUUGUCAUCAAAAUUGAUUGCUGGCAUCAAAGAAAUUUACCCAUCAAAGGAAAUCCUUUUAAUCCAUGGCCAUUUUCGAUAUGUUCUCAGAAAAAGCCAUAUAAUGUGACUGCAGAUUAUGUUAGUGUUUUCUUCAUGUGCAUCUCCUCAGAAGCUGAAGAUGGAAGUUCUGACUGGUCAGCAGCUCCUGGAUGCUGUGGUCAGUGAAGCUUUGAGGCUUCUGGAGAGAGGUCAGAUAGUGGACAGGUAAUGAAACAGUGAACAUAAGUGCUGAAUCCUUUAUUCUAUUGUAUAGUUCUUGUUUUAC